UACGUAGGGGGCAAGCGUUGUCCGGAUUUAUUGGGCGUAAAGAGCGUGUAGGCGGCCAUGUAGGUCCGGUGUGAAAACUCGAGGCUUAACCUCGAGAUGUCAUCGGAAACCAUUUGGCUAGAGUCCGGAAGAGGAGAGUGGAAUUCCUGGUGUAGCGGUGAAAUGCGCAGAUAUCAGGAAGAACACCAAUGGCGAAAGCAGCUCUCUGGGACGGUACUGACGCUGAGACGCGAAAGCGUGGGGAGCAAACGGG
rnacentral:rRNA from 1 species